AACGAACGCUGGCGGCAGGCCUAACACAUGCAAGUCGAACGCCGUAGCAAUACGGAGUGGCAGACGGGUGAGUAACACGUGGGAACGUACCCUUCGGUUCGGAAUAACUCAGGGAAACUUGAGCUAAAACCGGAUACGUCCGAGAGGAGAAAGAUUUAUCGCCGAGGGAUCGGCCCGCGUCUGAUUAGCUUGUUGGUGAGGUAACGGCUCACCAAGGCGACGAUCAGUAGCUGGUCUGAGAGGAUGAUCAGCCACAUUGGGACUGAGACACGGCCCAAACUCCUACGGGAGGCAGCAGUGGGGAAUAUUGGACAAUGGGCGCAAGCCUGAUCCAGCCAUGCCGCGUGAGUGAUGAAGGCCCUAGGGUUGUAAAGCUCUUUUACCCGGGAAGAUAAUGACUGUACCGGGAGAAUAAGCCCCGGCUAACCUCGUGCCAGCAGCCGCCGU
rnacentral:rRNA from 1 species